rnacentral:rRNA from 1 species
GACGAACGCGGGCGGCGUGCCUAAUACAUGCAAGUAGAACGCUGAAGGAGGAGCUUGCUUUCUGGAUGAGUUGCGAACGGGUGAGUAACGCGUAGGUAACCUGCCUGGUAGCGGGGGAUAACUAUUGGAAACGAUAGCUAAUACCGCAUAAUAGUAGUUGUUGCAUGACAACUGUUUGAAAGGUGCAAUUGCAUCACUACCAGAUGGACCUGCGUUGUAUUAGCUAGUUGGUGGGGUAACGGCUCACCAAGGCGACGAUACAUAGCCGACCUGAGAGGGCGAUCGGCCACACUGGGACUGAGACACGGCCCAGACUCCUACGGGAGGCAGCAGUAGGGAAUCUUCGGCAAUGGACGGAAGUCUGACCGAGCAACGCCGCGUGAGUGAAGAAGGUUUUCGGAUCGUAAAGCUCUGUUGUAAGAGAAGAAACGAGUGUGAGAAGUGGAAA